GAGUUUGAUCAUGGCUCAGAACAAACGCUGGCGGCGUGCCUAAUACAUGCAAGUCAAACGGGAAGUAGCAAUAUGAGUACUAGUGGCGCACGGGUGAGUAAUGCGUGGAUAAUCUGCCUUCGAGUUUGGGGAUAACUAGUCGAAAGAUUAGCUAAUACCGAAUAAGACCACAGGAUCUGAGGAUCUAGGGGUUAAAGUUUUUCGCUUGAAGAUGAGUCCGCGUGAGAUUAGCUAGUUGGUGAGGUAAUGGCUCACCAAGGCGACGAUCUCUAAACUGGUCUGAGAGGAUGAUCAGUCACACUGGAACUGAGACACGGUCCAGACUCCUACGGGAGGCAGCAGUAGGGAAUAUUGCACAAUGGAGGAAACUC
rnacentral:rRNA from 1 species